rfam:Myotis lucifugus cont2.25963, whole genome shotgun sequence.
GGCGUUUCUCAGGUGACGCACCCCGGAAUCGGGCUCCCUCCUCUCUGGUUCUGGAUGCAUCACCCAAGAACCGCA